UUGCAACCACGUGCCUACGUACAGUGGCAGCCACCGCCUAAAGAACACUCCUAAGUUGUCAGUGUUCUACACUCUUAUUUUCACCUGGAGCUUCCACCCACCGCUUCCUGUUCUUGUAAGCUCUCUUGUUUUUGAUUUCGCCAGAAGGACUUGCUGUCUUUAGAAAUCUCUCACUGAAGUAGAGCCCCCGUUGGGAUGAAUGGGAAUCAGAGUGCUAGGAGCUCUUCAGAAUGGACUCACCCAGACGUCCACAUUGUCCCGGGUCCCUCCUGGCCUGUUGACCAGUUCCUGACUAUAGAAGAUGGAAGAAUCUGGCAAGUGGUUCCCAGAGCAAGAGUACUUUCAGAUCCGUGUAGCUGAAUAGGAGGCAGAGACUCCUUCCCCUUCCCAUGGGAGAAUGAGACCGGGAAAGGCAUCAGGAGAAAGGGCUGGGUAUGACCCAUCUCUUGUCGCUCUGUCUCUACGGAGCUAAUUCAGAGGCGCAUGGUGGAGCAUCCGAAGCCAAAAUAGCCCGGAGUCGCUGCUGGACUUUGUGGCUUUCUCCACUGAUGUCACCGCAAAGCUGGAGGGACCGAGCAGGCAGUGGCUGACUCUUCAAGAUUGAUUGUUAGCAGGAGUUCCCAGCUUUGAGAUCGAGGUGAUCGUAAACAGGCAAAACCUUAGCAGAGAUGAGACCCAAUAGUCGCCAAAUUGCCAGUGAAGGGGAAAUUAGCAAAUGGAUCAAAUGAG